rnacentral:rRNA from 1 species
AAAUUGAAGAGUUUGAUCAUGGCUCAGAUUGAACGCUGGCGGCAGGCCUAACACAUGCAAGUCGAACGGUAACAGGAAGCAGCUUGCUGCUUUGCUGACGAGUGGCGGACGGGUGAGUAAUGUCUGGGAAACUGCCCGAUGGAGGGGGAUAACUACUGGAAACGGUAGCUAAUACCGCAUAACGUCGCAAGACCAAAGAGGGGGACCUUAGGGCCUCUUGCACAUCGGAUGUGCCCAGAUGGGAUUAGCUAGUAGGUGGGGUAA